rnacentral:rRNA from 1 species
CAGUUCGGAUCGCAGGCUGCAACCCGCCUGCGUGAAGUUGGAAUUGCUAGUAAUCGCGGAUCAGCAUGCCGCGGUGAAUACGUUCCCGGGCCUUGUACACACCGCCCGUCACACCAUGGGAGCCGGUAAUACCCGAAGUCAGUAGCCUAACCGCAAGGGGGGCGCUGCCGAAGGUAGGAUUGGCGACUGGGGUGAAGUCGUAACAAGGUACC